GAAACCCAAGGCGCUAAGUGGGGACUGUUACCAAUGUACACCAGAGAAUGUUUAUUCAGAACGGCAGGGCCAGGACCUCUGGCAUCAUCUUCACCUGGGGAGUAGUUCAAGACAGAAAUCCAGAGCUACGAGUCACACAUCCAUCCAGAUGAUUGCAGUGUGCGCUACAAGUAGAAAAGGUUUUAUAGCAGCUCUGCCUUCUGCAUCCUCUUUCGUGACAGCAUCAUCAUGCAGUCAUUCAAUAAAACUAAUUGAAGACUCAACUCCGGCUUCAGAACCAUAACAACGGCCUGCUCUCU